AAGUGAGAUGGCAUACUAACGGUGCCUCUCAGGUUGAGUAUCUCCAGCUUGCCAGCUGUUUUCAUACAUAAAUUUUUAUUUAACCCAUCAUUUCACCUAUGGUUUACUGUAUUCCUCUUUAAUACAUUCACCACGUGCCGCACGUAAACUCUCCACUGCUCUUUAUUUUUAUUUUAUUUGAUAUUUUUUUUCAUUUAAGACGGGUGGUAAAGGUCUUUCGCAAGCCCGAGGGACUCCUUUUCCAACUAGUCACCGUCGAAUCGUGGAAAAUAUAGUUAAAAGCCGUGGGAAAAUACGGCUUCGUGAAACCGUUGUAAUUGCUGCAAGUGCAAUUUUUUUCCCUUCGUUAUUUGGGACAAUUUUCUCGGGAGGUUUUGCUGUUUGAAAUUGUAAUGCCAGAACCUGGGGGUAGGGAGAGAAGUCUGACCCAGUGAAAAUCUCUGGUAUUUGUUUUAAAUGUCACGAGAGAUUCAAAUGCCACUGAAUUUAUUUAUUUUUUUCUUCAUUUUAAUGGAUGUACUCUCAUUGUUUGUGCGGAUGUACAAUUGAAAUUGUAUAUACUUGAACUGCGAGCCGUGCCAUUUUGGUGGAAAUUAAUAGUUGACUGUCUAUGAUAAUUUUAAUUUUUUUUUCCAACAAUAUGAAUGCUUGGAUCCAUGAAGAUUGGAAGGCCAUUUACCGAGUUAAUUACAGUGAAAACGCGUGAUUAAUAUUCAUCGGGUGUAAUGCCCCCGAGAAUGAUAAACAUUGAGGUAUGAUUUACGCGGAAGAUUUUGAUGGUUUUCUGGGAGUGGAGUUUGUUGAUGACAAUUGCUUCUCUUCCGGCUCAGGGAGGUCAUUCAUUCGAGUGGAAAAAAGUCUCUGCGGUCUACAGUUUUCACAAUUGCAAUAGUGGAUUUUACACUUGAAUGGGUAAAACAAAGUGCAAUGUUUCAAGAAAGAGUCGUUUCGAAAGAGGAAAUAAACUAUUUGUUAAAAAUAAA